rnacentral:rRNA from 1 species
ANGNNGNCUUAUCAUGCNAGUCGAGCGAAUGAUGAGGAGCUUGCUCCUCUGAUUUAGCGGCGGACGGGUGAGUAACACGUGGGUAAUCUGCCUGUAAGACGGGGAUAACUCCGGGAAACCGGGGCUAAUACCGGAUAACAAGAGAAGAUGCAUAUCUUCUUUUUGAAAGUCGGUUUCGGCUGACACUUACAGAUGAGCCCGCGGCGCAUUAGCUAGUUGGUGAGGUAACGGCUCACCAAGGCGACGAUGCGUAGCCGACCUGAGAGGGUGAUCGGCCACACUGGGACUGAGACACGGCCCAGACUCCUACGGANGGCAGCAGA